GAGUUUGAUCCUGGCUCAGAGCGAACGCUGGCGGCAGGCUUAACACAUGCAAGUCGAGCGCCCGUAGCAAUACGGGAGCGGCAGACGGGUGAGUAACACGUGGGAACGUGCCUUUUGGUUCGGAACAACCCAGGGAAACUUGGACUAAUACCGGAUAAGCCCUUACGGGGAAAGAUUUAUCGCCAAAAGAUCGGCCCGCGUCUGAUUAGCUAGUUGGUGGGGUAAUGGCCCACCAAGGCUACGAUCAGUAGCUGGUCUGAGAGGAUGAUCAGCCACACUGGGACUGAGACACGGCCCAGACUCCUACGGGAGGCAGCAGUGGGGAAUAUUGGACAAUGGGCGAAAGCCUGAUCCAGCAAUGCCGCGUGAGUGAUGAAGGCCUUAGGGUUGUAAAGCUCUUUUACCCGGGAUGAUAAUGACAGUACCGGGAGAAUAAGCCCCGGCUAACUCCGUGCCAGCCGCCGCAGUAAG
rnacentral:rRNA from 1 species